UACGAAGGGGGCUAGCGUUGUUCGGAAUCACUGGGCGUAAAGCGCACGUAGGCGGGUCGUUAAGUCAGGGGUGAAAUCCCGAGGCUCAACCUCGGAACUGCCUUUGAUACUGGCGACCUUUGAGUCCGGGAGAGGUGAGUGGAACUCCGAGUGUAGAGGUGAAAUUCGUAGAUAUUCGGAAGAACACCAGUGGCGAAGGCGGCUCACUGGCCCGGUACUGACGCUGAGGAGCGAAAGCCAGGGGAGCAAACGGG
rnacentral:rRNA from 1 species